rnacentral:rRNA from 1 species
UACGUAGGGUGCAAGCGUUGUCCGGAAUUAUUGGGCGUAAAGAGCUCGUAGGCGGUUUGUCGCGUCUGCUGUGAAAACCUAGGGCUUAACCCUGGGCCUGCAGUGGGUACGGGCAGACUAGAGUGCGGUAGGGGAGACUGGAAUUCCUGGUGUAGCGGUGAAAUGCGCAGAUAUCAGGAGGAACACCGGUGGCGAAGGCGGGUCUCUGGGCCGAUACUGACGCUGAGGAGCGAAAGCGUGGGGAGCGAACAGG